rnacentral:misc_RNA from 1 species
ACUCCAUUAAAACCAUCAAAUAAAGACGACGCAGGGGACCACAUAGUACCCAAAUUACAGCUAGAUAAUGUCUCAAACGAUCAGAUCGACACUGAAAACCAAACAACUAAUAUAUAAAAGAAACGAGUUUGGGUGGGGGGAGAGAAGUACACAAAUUAACCUAAAAACCCAACAGGAAAACCUACUUGGCAUGCCAACGACGCACAUGCCCCCUCAAACAUCAGCCAAUUUACAGCCAGCUGCCAUCAGAAUCACGAAUCAAAAGCCUACUUCUUGGCCGCCUUCCUUGCAGGUGCCUUUCUCGCCGGGGACUUCCCCUUCGCUGGAGUCGCCGCCUUCUUCUUCGCUGCAGGAGCGGCCUUCUUAGGAGUGGCAGCAGGAGCAGCCUUCUUCACGGGCACAGCCUUCUUAGCCGGUGGUGGGACUAUUGCCUUCUUUGCCGGAGCAGCAGCCUUCUUUGCGGGAGCGUCCUUGGCGGAGGUCUUGGCGGCCUUUGCAGGGCGAGCCUUUGGCGCCGGCCGAGGAGCCGGCUUCGGCUUCGCCGCAGCCUUGGGCGCAGGCUUCGGCUUGGCAGCUGGGGCCUUCGCCUUGGGCUUGGCAACAGCCUUGGGCUUCGCAGCGGCCUUCACCUUCGGCUUGACAGGGGCCUUUGCCUUGGGUUUAGCUGCCGCCUUCUUCGCCUUCGGCUUUGCCGCCGUCUUAGGCUUUGCAGUCUUCGGCUUAGCAGCAGUUUUGGCCUUAGGCUUCGUGGCCUUCUUCGGUUUGUCGGCGAGCUUGUAGGAGCCCUUCACCUUCGUGAGCUUACCGGCAGCGGUGAACCGCUUCAGCUGGGUGAGAAGAAGCUUCUUGAAGGUCGGGGGCAGGCCCUUGUGCUUGUCUUCGAUGAACUUCGUGAUGGCGUACUGGCUCGAUCCGCUGCGCUCCUUAAGCGAGGUGAUCGCCUCGCUAAUCAUAUCGAGGUACGGGGGAUGAGCGGCGGCGACCUUCGGCUUCCUCGGGGCGGAGGGCUUCUUCGCCUUGGCCUCCUUGGCGGGCUUGGGCUUCUCCUCCGCUGCAGCUUCGGCGGCCGGCUCCGCCGGCGCCGGAUCGGCAAUUGGGACCUCGACGGUUGGGGCCUCGGUGGCGGUCUCCUCGGUGGCCAUUGCUGGGGAUGGGGGGGAGCUAGGGCUAGGGUUAGGGUUUG